rnacentral:rRNA from 1 species
AUUGAACGCUGGCGGCAGGCCUAACACAUGCAAGUCGAACGAGUGGCGGACGGGUGAGUAAUGUCUGGGAAACUGCCCGAUGGAGGGGGAUAACUACUGGAAACGGUAGCUAAUACCGCAUACCAUCGGAUGUGCCCAGAUGGGAUUAGCUAGUAGGUGGGGUAACGGCUCACCUAGGCGACGAUCCCUAGCUGGUCUGAGAGGAUGACCAGCCACACUGGAACUGAGACACGGUCCAGACUCCUACGGGAGGCAGCAGUAGGGAAUAUUGGACAAUGGGCGAAAGCCUGAUACAGCCAUGCCGCGUGUAUGAAGAAGGCCUUCGGGUUUUAAAGUACUUUCGGUGAGGAGGCGUUACUCGCAGAAGAAGCACCGGCUAACUCCGUGCCAGCAGCCGCGGUAAUAC